rnacentral:rRNA from 1 species
AGCUCCAAUAGCGUAUAUUAAAGUUGUUGCAGUUAAAAAGCUCGUAGUUGGAUUUCUGGUGGGAGCGUUGGGUCGGCCCUAAGGGCUCGUACUCAAAUGUUUUCCGCCAUCCUUGGAGGGAUGUUGUCUGGCAUUAAGUUGUCGGGCUUCCGAUCUCCAUCGUUUACUGUGAAAAAAUUAGAGUGUUCAAAGCAGGCUUACGCCGUUGAAUACAUUAGCAUGGAAUAAUAAGAUAGGACCCUGGUACUAUUUUGUUGGUUUGCGUACCUAGGUAAUGAUUAAUAGGGACAGUUGGGGGUAUUCGUAUUCCGUUGUCAGAGGUGAAAUUCUUGGAUUUACGGAAGACGAACUACUGCGAAAGCAUUUACCAAGGAUGUUUUCAUUA